rnacentral:rRNA from 1 species
AUACGAAGGGGGCUAGCGUUGCUCGGAAUGACUGGGCGUAAAGGGCGCGUAGGCGGCGCACUUAGUCGGGCGUGAAAGUCCUGGGCUCAACCUGGGGACGGCGCUCGAUACGGGUGUGCUUGAGUGUGGAAGAGGGUUGUGGAAUUCCCAGUGUAGAGGUGAAAUUCGUAGAUAUUGGGAAGAACACCAGAGGCGAAGGCGACACUCUAGGCCGCACCUGACGCUGAGACGCGACAGCACGGGGAGC